rnacentral:misc_RNA from 1 species
UCUCCACUUCCAUUGCUUUAGUUAAUGUUUCUACCUUCUUCGCUAACAUCUCAAUUGCAUCAUCCUUAUCUUUGAGGCUUUGAUCUUUUUCAUGACAAGCUUUCCUCAAAGCUAUGACCUCUUUUUGCAGCAAAUCAUACAAUACCGCUGGAACACUAUCCUCUGUCUCUGCUGCUGGAAACUCAUUGGGCUUCUCAUCAGGAUUUCCUUUCCAAGAAUCAGGUGCCUCAGCAUCCUUGGUUCUGUCAGAAGGUUGGUUGAAUGAACGAUUGGGGCUGGUGCCAUUUAGGAGAGCCCUACUACCCCUAUCCAAUGAUCUUGUGCCUCCAUCAAAUGAUUUUGAUGUUCCUUUAGCAUGCUUAAGCAC